ensembl:snoRNA
CCAGCCCGUAAAGGUGUUACAGAUGUGACUACUGUGUCACAUGUGUGUCAUUAGGUGUCAGAGUAGACAGGCCUGUCUAUACCAAGUGUUCUAACCCAUUUGCAACUGGAUGAUUGAUAGUCUGAAAAA